UAGAGAUUAGUUUAACAUAAAACAGCUACCUUCGGACUAGCAACUUUAGACGCCCUCUAAAUCUCUAA
rnacentral:tRNA from 1 species